UGACGACAAUCCACCUGCUGCAUUGAGCUUUUGUGUGUCAGGCUUUUAGGUCGUCAUAGAAAAAAGCGAGUCUGGUUCUGCCAGUGUGUAAUAUGCAGAUUGUCUGCUACUGUUCAUCCUGGACACUGAAAGACUCCACAGUU